AGCAACCAGUCCCUAUCUCUGAAUCUCUUUUCUUUUUUCUGUCAUUAGAAUAGGCAAUAAGGAAGUGUGCUAACACCUAGCACAAUGGAGAACAAAGUACUAUGAAUCUAGGGUUCAGAUGGAAGGAAAAAGAAUGUAAACAGAGAAUUUCUCCAAAGGAAAAAGAAAUCAAUCAAGAGUUGGAGAAAAUGUCAGCCUAGAAAAUCAUCCCACCGAUUUCAAGCUACCAGUCUUGUCCAAAGUACUCUGCUAUUGAUCUUCAACUCAGCAUUAAUGAAAGACCUCCCUUACAUGUGUCAGAUCAGAUUAAAGAGAUACUAGUUUGUGGAAGCAUCCAGAAAGCAGAAACACUGAACACUAAGGACACUUGAGCGGCUAUUCCUCCGCCUUACUUGCUCUAAUACUACAUGACGGUUUUUCUUAUCUGCCUUGGUUAAUUCAUUUUAUAGUACUAUCUGGGAAC
rnacentral:lncRNA from 1 species